CGGGGGCAUCAGUAUUCAAUUGUCAGAGGUGAAAUUCUUGGAUUUAUUGAAGACUAACUACUGCGAAAGCAUUUGCCAAGGAUGUUUUCAUUAAUCAGUGAACGAAAGUUAGGGGAUCGAAGACGAUCAGAUACCGUCGUAGUCUUAACCGUAAACUAUGCCGACUAGGGAUCGGGCGAUGUUCUUUUUCUGACUCGCUCGGCACCUUACGAGAAAUCAAAGUUUUUGGGUUCUGGGGGGAGUAUGGUCGCAAGGCUGAAACUUAAAGAAAUUGACGGAAGGGCACCACCAGGCGUGGAGCCUGCGGCUUAAUUUGACUCAAC
rnacentral:rRNA from 1 species